rnacentral:rRNA from 1 species
UACGUAGGAGCCAAGCGUUGUCCGGAUUGACUGGGCGUAAAGCGCACGCAGGCGGUCGUGCACGUGGGGUGUGAAAACUGGCGGCUUAACUGCCAGAGGCCACCUCAUACGGCGCGACUCGAGCCCUGCAGAGGUCCAUGGAAUUGCCGGUGUAGUGGUGAAAUGCGUAGAGAUCGGCAGGAACACCCAGGGGGAAACCAGUGGACUGGGCAGGAGCUGACGCUCAGGUGCGAAAGCGUGGGGAGCGAACAGG